rnacentral:miRNA from 1 species
AGUUUGAGUUUCAAGCGAAAAAAAAUCAUUUUUCAGCAUAAGUAAAUGCAGUAUUUGGGACAUACUUAUAAUAAAAAUGAUUCAUGGUAUAUUUGAAAUUCAGAUUUAACU